rnacentral:tRNA from 1 species
GACAGGGUAGUCUAGUGGUUAGGGAUAUGGGCUCUGGAGCCAGAAGCCUGAGGUUAAAUCCCAGCCCUGUCA